rnacentral:rRNA from 1 species
UACGUAGGCAGCAAGCGUUGUUCGGAGUUACUGGGCGUAAAGAGUGCGUAGGCGGUUUCGUAAGUUUGGUGUGAAAUCUCCCGGCUUAACUGGGAGGGUGCGCCGAAAACUGCGAGGCUGGAGUGUGGGAAAGGUAGGCGGAAUUCCUGGUGUAGCGGUGAAAUGCGUAGAUAUCAGGAGGAACACCGGCGGUGUAGACGGCUUACUAGACCAUGACUGACGCUGAGGCACGAAAGCGUGGGUAGCAAACAGG